UCGGAUAUGGUGCAUAGGAUAGCACGGGCUCAUACUACAUUCUCCCACGGUUGGGAUGAGAGCCAGAUCGAGGUUCGAUUCCUCGUGUCCGUC